rnacentral:rRNA from 1 species
GAUGAACGCUGGCGGCGUGCCUAAUACAUGCAAGUCGAGCGAACAGACGAGGAGCUUGCUCCUCUGACGUUAGCGGCGGACGGGUGAGUAACACGUGGAUAACCUACCUAUAAGACUGGGAUAACUUCGGGAAACCGGAGCUAAUACCGGAUAAUAUAUUGAACCGCAUGGUUCAAUAGUGAAAGACGGUUUUGCUGUCACUUAUAGAUGGAUCCGCGCCGCAUUAGCUAGUUGGUAGGUUAACGGCUUACCAAGGCAACGAUGCGUAGCCGACCUGAGAGGGGGAUCGGCCACAUGGGAACUGAGACACGGUCCAGACUCCUAAGGGAGGCAGCAGUAGGGAAUCGGCCGCAAUGGGCGAAAGUCUGACGGAGCAACGCCGCGUGAGUGAUGAAGGUCUUCGGAUCGUAAAACUCUGUUAUUAGGGAAGAACAAAUGUGUAAGUAACUAUGCACGUCUUGACGGUACCUAAUCAGAAAGCCACGGCUAACUACGUG